rnacentral:rRNA from 1 species
UACGUAGGGUGCAAGCGUUGUUCGGAAUUACUGGGCGUAAAGGGCGCGUAGGCGGGCCCGUAUGUCGAUUGUGAAAGCCCUGGGCUCAACCUGGGAAUGGCAGUCGAAACUGCGGGUCUUGAGUGCCUGAGAGGAUGGCGGAAUUCCCGGUGUAGAAGUGAAAUUCGUAGAUAUCGGGAAGAACACCUGAGGCGAAGGCGGCUAUCUGGCGGUGCACUGACGCUAAGGCGCGAAAGCGUGGGGAGCAAACAGG